UCUGUUGGGGUGCAUCGUUUUUCGUUGCUGAGAGAUCUUUGGAUCAACCCAUCGAACCUGAUCUGGUUAGAGCCGGCGUAGGAAACGG
rnacentral:ncRNA from 1 species